rnacentral:sRNA from 1 species
CCCAGUGUUGUAUUUUUGCAACACGUCUCUCAUGUUGUACAAUAAACAACAUGAAACUUGGCAUCACUUUUUAAAAUUUAGCCGGCCGCCCUGCGUAUCCGGUUCUCUUUUUUGGCUGGCGUUCAGCACGUUCGGUGCAUUAAAUUGCACAUUACAAAAAUUUUACAAUGAGGAUGAACGCAACAAAACUUCACCACUUUCG